GAUGAACGCUAGCGGGAGGCCUAACACAUGCAAGCCGAGCGGUAGAGAUCUUUCGGGAUCUUGAGAGCGGCGUACGGGUGCGGAACACGUGUGCAACCUGCCUUUAUCUGGGGGAUAGCCUUUCGAAAGGAAGAUUAAUACCCCAUAAUAUACUGAAUGGCAUCAUUCGGUAUUGAAAACUCUGGUGGAUAGAGAUGGGCACGCGCAAGAUUAGAUAGUUGGUGAGGUAACGGCUCACCAAGUCUACGAUCUUUAGGGGGCCUGAGAGGGUGAUCCCCCACACUGGUACUGAGACACGGACCAGACUCCUACGGGAGGCAGCAGUGAGGAAUAUUGGACAAUGGGUGAGAGCCUGAUCCAGCCAUCCCGCGUGAAGGACGACGGCCCUAUGGGUUGUAAACUUCUUUUGUAUAGGGAUAAACCUACCCUCGUGAGGGUAGCUGAAGGUACUAUACGAAUAAGCACCGGCUAACUCCGUGCCAGCAGCCGCGGUAAUACGGAGGGUGCAAGCGUUAUCCGGAUUUAUUGGGUUUAAAGGGUCCGUAGGCGGAUCUGUAAGUCAGUGGUGAAAUCUCACAGCUUAACUGUGAAACUGCCAUUGAUACUGCNG
rnacentral:rRNA from 1 species